AGAGCUAUGGUGUAGUGGUUAUCACGUCUGCUUUACACGCAGUAGGUCUUGGGUUCGAUCCCCAAUAGCUCUA
rfam:Smittium culicis strain GSMNP scaffold-1992, whole genome shotgun sequence.